GUUAAGCUGAUAGACCUCC
rnacentral:piRNA from 1 species